AGAGUUUGAUCCUGGCUCAGGAUGAACGCUGGCGGUGUGUCUAAGGCAUGCAAGUCGAACGAUCUCUUCGGAGAGAGUGGCAAACGGGAGAGUAACACAUUGGUAACCUACCCCAUACUCGGGCAUAAUCUUGCGAAAGCGGGACUAAUACCCGAUAGACUCCAACUUCAUAAGUGUGUUGGAGUAAAGCUCCGGCGGUAUGGGAGGGGCCUAUGGCUUAUCAGCUUGUUGGUGAGGUAAAAGCUCACCAAGGCAACGACGAGUAGCGGGCGUGAGAGCGUGGCCCGUCUCACGGGGACUGAGAUACUGCCCUGACUCCUACGGGAGGCUGCAGUCAAGAAUCUUCCACAAUGGCCGAAAGGCUGAUGGAGCGACACCGCGUGCAGGAAGACGCCCUUCGGGGUGUAAACUGCUUUUACAAGGGACGAACAAAUGACGGUACCUUUUGAAUAAGGGGUUGCUAACCUCGUGCCAGCAGCAGCGGUAAUACGAGGGCCCCAAGCGUUAUCCGGAUUUACUGGGCGUAAAGCGUCCGCAGGCGGUUUGGUAAGUUUUUAGUGAAAUACCGAGGCUCAACCUCGGGCCCGCUAAAGAUACUGCCAAACUAGAGACUGGAAGAGGUAAGCGGAACUGCCGGUGUAGCGGUAAAAUGUGUUAAUAUCGGCAGGAACACCAAAGGCGAAGGCAGCUUACUGGUACAGUUCUGACGCUAAUGGACGAAAGCGUGGGGAGCGAAAGGGAUUAGAUACCCCUGUAGUCCACGCCGUAAACGAUGAAUGCUAGAUAUUCGGAGUAUCGACCCUCUGAGUGUCGUCUAAAAAAGCUAACGCGUUAAGCAUUCCGCCUGGGGAGUACGGCCGCAAGGCUAAAACUCAAAGGAAUAGACGGGGACCUGCACAAGCGGUGGAGCAUGCGGUUUAAUUCGAUGAUAAGCGAGGAACCUCACCAAGGUUUGACAUAUAGCUGCACGCCCUAAGAAAUUAGGGCUCCUUCGAGGGUGCUAUACAGGUGCUGCAUGGUUGCCGUCAGCUCGUGGCGUGAGCUGUUCCCUUAAUUGGGGUAACGAGCGCAACCCCCAUCUUGUGUUGAAUUGUUCACAAGAAACUGCCCCGGGAUACGGGGAGGAAGGCGGGGACGACGUCAAAUCAGCAUGGCCCUUACACCUUGGGCUACACGCAUGCUACAAUGGCCGGUACAAAGGGCUGCCAAGUCGUAAGACGGAGCUAAUCCCAUCAAAACCGGUCCCAGUUCGGAUUGAGGUCUGCAACUCGACCUCAUGAAGUUGGAAUCGCUAGUAAACGCGCAUCAGCCUCGGCGCGUUGAAUACGUUCUCAGGUCUUGUACUCACCGCCCGUCACAUCAAGAGAGUCGCGAAUACCCGAAGCUCCAUUAAGGAUCUACGGUAGGCGUGAUGAUAGGGAUGAAGUCGUAACAAGGUAACC
rnacentral:rRNA from 1 species